rnacentral:rRNA from 1 species
GACGAACGCUGGCGGCGUGCUUAACACAUGCAAGUCGAACGGAAAGGCCUGCUUUCCCUUGUGGAUUGCGGGUACUCGAGUGGCGAACGGGUGAGUAACACGUGAGUGAUCUGCCCCCAACUUGGGUAUAAGCCUGGGAAACUGGGUCUAAUUCCAGAUAGGACUGCAGGGUGGUGCCUGUGGUGGAAAACGAUUUUCUAGUGGUUGGGGAUGAGCGCGCGGCCUAUCAGCUUGUUGGUGGGGUAGUGGCCGACCACGGCGGCGACGGGUAGCCGGCCUGAGAGGCUGGACGGCGACAUUGGGACUGAGAUGCGGCCCAGACUCCUACGGGAGGCAGCAGUGGGGAAUAUUGCACGAUGGGCGGAAGCCUGAUGCAGCGACGCCGCGUGGGGGAUGACGGCCUUCGGGUUGUAAACUCCUUUCGACCGCGAGGAAGCCACCUGGUUGGAAGGGUGGUGACGGUAGUGGUAGAAGAAGCACCGGCUAACUACGUG